rnacentral:rRNA from 1 species
GUCCACGCCCUAAACGAUGUCGACUAGUUGUUCGGAGAGGUAACUUUCUGAGUAACGCAGCUAACGCGUGAAGUCGACCGCCUGGGGAGUACGGCCGCAAGGUUAAAACUCAAAGGAAUUGACGGGGACCCGCACAAGCGGUGGAUGAUGUGGAUUAAUUCGAUGCAACGCGAAAAACCUUACCUACCCUUGACAUGCCUGGAACCUGCGAGAGAUCGCGGGGUGCCUUCGGGAGCCAGGACACAGGUGCUGCAUGGCUGUCGU